AUGGGUGGAGGUGGUGUAGCCACUAGCAUUGGCGCCCAGCCUUUCCAAAAGCGCUAUUAUUGUUUUUGAAGAACAUAGAACUCAAAGAGAUAAAAUGUAGAAAAAAUUGGUACAACAUGGGUGUUUAGCACGGGGCAUGUGGUUGGAACUCCCGAUGCAUUGAUGGUCCUUGCAUGGGGAUGAUGAAAACUUCUGGAGGUUGGAGCUUAGGUGGGACCAGGCUCACGAGAGAGGUUCCAUCCCACAA
rnacentral:lncRNA from 1 species